GCACCAACACAAGUGACUAUGAUUUUGAGUGAGCGGAUCUCUUCAUACUUAUAUUAUGUACCCUUUUAAACUCGGCCCAACACUAAGUAGAAACUUAUCUGUCACAGAUCCUAUGAAGGUUUAAACAAUGUGCUACACACUGCAUGAGAGCAGGACGUUCCUUCAGGAUGUGUUCUGCAGGUCUGACAGUGGAGCAUCAGCUGGAGAAAAAAGUUUGUUCUUACCAAUUUCACAUCUACUGGUUAAUUGUUUUUGAAAACAAAACUCAGAUCAGUUGCUAGUGAAGUUACUACAAGAACAAGAAGAGCACCACAAUGCACACACAAAUGAUUGUCAAAUUUGAUGGUCCAAAAGGAAGCACAAGAAACCAACAGAGAACUCACAUAGGCUCUGCAAAAUAAACAGUAUUUGCCAUCCUGCCUUACAGUUAAUAAGCAAUCAGUGGUGCCUCCCAAGCAUCUUGUCAUUAUAACACUUCUGAGCACAGGAUUGCUCCUGUUUUUGCCAUGCAAAGAAAUUAUCUUAAAGGAUGGCUGCUAUUUUUAGAUGCAGCACUGGAAAUUGAGCAAGUCAUCUCUGAACCGUGAGCUCAUAUACCUUAAUGGAGGUGAAGAUGUCUGGGAUUAGACUCUAUUUGCAGUGUAUUGUCAAUUAAAAAAGGUCAUUUAAGGAGUUCUUAAACUGCCUCUUCAUUUACUUGAAUUACAACCUUGAGAAUAGAUUAUAUAGUACUGCAUACCCACAAAAAAAGCUGUUUGCUUCAUUAGAUCCACUGUUUAUUUUUAAUUAAAAUACUUGACCUUUUCUUCCUCUGCCAUUCCUAACCCCUAAGGUACAUCCAGGAAUUCUUCUCCUGCCAGUAUUCCAGGGAGAU